rnacentral:rRNA from 1 species
GCUUACGGCCAUACCGCCCUAUCUGCGCCUGAUCUCGUCUGAUCUUGGAAGCUAAGCAGGGUCGGGCCUGGUUAGUACUUAUAAGGG